rnacentral:rRNA from 1 species
AGGGCACCACCAGGAGUGGAGCCUGCGGCUUAAUUUGACUCAACACGGGAAAACUCACCCGGCCCGGACACUGGAAGGAUUGACAGAUUGAGAGCUCUUUCUUGAUUCAGUGGGUGGUGGUGCAUGGCCGUUCUUAGUUGGUGGAGUGAUUUGUCUGGUUAAUUCCGAUAACGAACGAGACUCUAGCCUACUAAAUAGAUCGUCGGCUUACAAACGCCGGCGAGACUUCUUAGAGGGACAGGCAGUGAUUCAACCGCACGAAACAGAGCAAUAACAGGUCUGUGAUGCCCUUAGAUGUCCGGGGCCGCACGCGCGCUACACUGAAGUGAUCAGCGUGCUUUUUCAACCUACUCUGUCAAGAGUGGGGAACCCAAUGAACCUUCUUCGUGAUUGGGAUAGGGGAUUGUAAUUAUUCCCCUUGAACGAGGAGUUCCCAGUAAGCGCGAGUCAUAAGCUCGCGUUGAUUACGUCCCUGCCCUUUGUACACACCGCCCGUCGCUACUACCGAUUGAAUGUUUU